UACAGAGGGGGCAAGCGUUGUUCGGAAUUACUGGGCGUAAAGGGCGCGUAGGCGGCCUGCUAAGUCGAACGUGAAAUCCCCAGGCUCAACCCGGGAACUGCGUCCGAUACUGGCAGGCUUGAAUCCGGGAGAGGGAUGUGGAAUUCCAGGUGUAGCGGUGAAAUGCGUAGAUAUCUGGAGGAACACCGGUGGCGAAGGCGGCAUCCUGGACCGGCAUUGACGCUGAGGCGCGAAAGCCAGGGGAGCAAACGGG
rnacentral:rRNA from 1 species